GACGAACGCUGGCGGCGUGCUUAACACAUGCAAGUCGAACGGAACCGCCCUGCUUUUUUGCGGACCUCUAGUUGCGGCCUGGGAACUAACCCUUAGGUACCCUACCCCUCCCUUUGGGGUGACUUCAUACAGCUUGAUGUCUUAGCGGCUAGGAUCUACCGCUUCUUGAUGGGGGUUGGUUGGUUUCGCCGGUUGGGGAUGGACUGGCGGCGUAUCCGCUUGUUGGUGGGGUAGUGGCUGACCAAGGCUUUGACGGGUAGCCGGCCUGAGAGGGUGACCGGCCAAAUCGGGACUGAGAUAAGGCCCAGACUCCUACGGGAGGCAGCAGUGGGGAAGAGAGCACAAUGGGCGGAAGCCUGAUGCAGCAACGCCGCGUGCGGGAUGACGGCCUUCGGGUUGUAAACCGCUUUCGCCUGUGACGAAGCGUGAGUGACGGUAAUGGGUAAAGAAGCACCGGCUAACUACGUG
rnacentral:rRNA from 1 species